UACGUAGGGUGCGAGCGUUAAUCGGAAUUACUGGGCGUAAAGCGUGCGCAGGCGGUUGGCAAAGUCAGCUGUGAAAGCCCCGGGCUCAACCUGGGAAUUGCGGUUGAAACUAGUCGACUAGAAUCUGGCAGAGGGGGGUGGGAAUUCCACGGUGGUAAGCAGGUGAAAUGCGUAGAGAAUGGUGGAGGAACACCGGAUGGCGAAGGGAGCAGCCCCCUGGGCUGAGCAUUGGACGGCGCCUCGAGGCACGGAAAGGCGCUGGGGAGCAAACAGGGAUUGAGAAC
rnacentral:rRNA from 1 species